CUGCCAGUAGUGAUAUGCUUGUCUCAAAGAUUAAGCCAUGCAUGUCUGAGUACAGACCGAUCUAAGGUGAAACCGCGAAUGGCUCAUUAAAUCAGUCAUAAUUCCUUGGAUAGUGAAAAACUUCCUCGGAUAACUGUGGAAAAUCCAGAGCUAAUACGUGCAACUGAGCUCCGACCUCGGCGUGAGCCUUGGGAAGAGCGCAUUUAUUAGAUUCAAAAUCGACCGGUGUAGUCCUUCGGGAUGCACCGUUUGUCUUACGUUUGAUGACUCCGGAUAACUUAGCCGAGCGCUACGGUCCUAGUACCGGCGCCGUAUCUUUCAAGUGUCUGCCUUAUCAGCUUUCGAUUGUAGGUUAAACGCCUACAAUGGCUGUAACGGGUAACGGGGAAUCAGGGUUCGAUUCCGGAGAGGGAGCCUGAGAAACGGCUACCACAUCUAAGGAAGGCAGCAGGCACGCAAAUUACCCACUCCCAGCCCGGGGAGGUAGUGACGAAAAAUAACGAUGCGAGACUCUUCCGAGGCCUCGCAAUCGGAAUGAGUCCAUUUUAAAUCCUUGGACGAGGAUCCAUUGGAGGGCAAGUCUGGUGCCAGCAGCCGCGGUAAUUCCAGCUCCAAUAGCGUAUAUUAAAGUUGCUGCGGUUAAAAAGCUCGUAGUUGGACUUCCUAGAUCCAUUUCGCGAGCGGGUCGCUCGUUGAUCUAACCUCUCGCGUCAGUUGCUUGACGACGACGUCUUUCUUCGGCGGAGUUUCCUUUCCUUCGGGAUUUCGGAUUCUUCCCGUACGGAGUUGGCGUGUUGAGUCUCGCGUACGGCUUGUCGUUGUCUUCGGGUAUCGCUCGUUCGCGUUUGGUACAAUUAAAAUUUUGUCGGCUCGCUCGGAGUGCUCUUUACCGAGUGUUCCAGGGUGGCCGACACGUUCACUUUGAAAAAAUUAGAGUGCUUAAAGCGGGCUUAUACCUAGCCUGAAUGUCUGUGCAUGGAAUGAAGUAACAGGACCUCGAUUCUGUUUUUUUUGUCGGUUUUAUUGAACCGAGGUAAUGAUUAAAAGGGACAGACGGUGGCAUUAGUAUUGCGGCGCUAGAGGUGAAAUUCUUGGACCGCCGCAAGACUAACUACUGCGAAAGCAUUUGCCGAGAAUGUUUUCAUUAAUCAAGAACGAAAGUUAGAGGAUCGAAGGCGAUCAGAUACCGCCCUAGUUCUAACCCUAAACUAUGCUAACUAGCGAUCCGCCGGAGUCAUUCCCACGACCCGGCGGGAAGCCCCAGGGAAACCAAAGUCUUUGAGUUCCGGGGGAAGUAUGGUUGCAAAGCUGAAACUUAAAGGAAUUGACGGAAGGGCACCACCAGGAGUGGAGCCUGCGGCUUAAUUUGACUCAACACGGGAAACCUCACCAGGCCCGGACAUCAUUAAGAUUGACAGGUUGAGAGCUCUUUCUCGAUUUGAUGGGUGGUGGUGCAUGGCCGUUCUUAGUUGGUGGAGUGAUCUGUCUGGUUGAUUCCGAUAACGAACGAGACUCUACCCUACUAACUAGUCGGCGGAUCUUAACCCUGAGAUGGUUAGUUUGUAUAGGAUGGUUCUAGCCUAGGCGUCGUCGUUCGUCUCGCGUACGGGUUCGAGUUGGUUAUUGCGGCAUUCGCGUGUCGUGUGGCUUUCUUGGGCUUUUUGUGCGCGAGUCCGGCGGUCGUCGAAGCUUCCGUCUGAUUGCUGCUACUACUGGGGGCGUCCGUCGCAUUGUAUCUUCUUAGAGGGAUCAGCGGCGUAUAGCCGCACGAGAAAGAGCAAUAACAGGUCUGUGAUGCCCUUAGAUGUUCUGGGCCGCACGCGCGCUACAAUGUAGAGACCAGCGUGCUUUCCCCCUCCGAAAGGAGCGGGUAACCCGUUGAAACCCCUACCCGAUUGGGAUUGGGGAUUGCAAAUAUUUCCCAUAAACGAGGAAUUCCCAGUAAGCGCGAAUCAUUAAUUCGCGCUGAUUACGUCCCUGCCCUUUGUACACACCGCCCGUCGCUACUACCGAUUGAAUGAUUCAGUGAGGGCAUCGGACUGGCGCCUUCGGUUUAGUAAAAUAGACCUUAGGCUGACGGAAAGAUGUCCGAACUUGAUUAUUUAGAGGAAGUAAAA
rnacentral:rRNA from 1 species